rnacentral:rRNA from 1 species
GAUCAGCCACACUGGGACUGACACACGGUCCAGACUCCUACGGGAGGCAGCAGUGAGGAAUUUUGCGCAAUGGGGGAAACCCUGACGCAGCAACGCCGCGUGAGUGAUGAAGGCCUUCGGGUCGUAAAGCUCUGUCAAGUGGGAAGAACCUGCAUUGGGUUAACAUCUCAGUGCACUGACGGUACCACUGAAGGAAGCACCGGCUAACUCCGUGCCAGCAGCCGCGGUAAUACGGAGGGUGCAAGCGUUAUUCGGAAUUAUUGGGCGUAAAGGGCGCGUAGGCGGCCGUUUAAGUCAGGUGUGAAAGCCCGGGGCUUAACCCCGGAAGUGCAUUUGAUACUGAGCGGCUUGAGUAUGGGAGAGGGAAGUGGAAUUCCUGGUGUAGAGGUGAAAUUCGUAGAUAUCAGGAGGAACACCGGUGGCGAAGGCGACUUCCUGGACCAAUACUGACGCUGAGGCGCGAAGGCGUGGGGAUCAAACAGGAUUAGAUACCCUGGUAG